GUGCUUGCUUUGACAGCACAUUUACUCAAAUUGGAACGAUACAGAGAAGAUUAGCAUGACCCCUGCACAAGGAUGACAUGCAGAUUUUUGAAGCAUUCCAUAUUUAA